rnacentral:tRNA from 3 species
CGGGGUGUAGCGCAGUUUGGUAGCGCGCAUGCUUCGGGAGCAUGAGGUCGAAGGUUCAAAUCCUUUCACUCCGACCA